UUAACUAAUUACUUCUAUAUUCGCCAGGGAACUACAAGCCAUAGCUUAAAACCCAAAGGACUUGGCGGUGCUCUACACCACCUAGAGGAGCCUGUUCUAUAAUCGAUAUUCCACGAUUUACCCCACCACUUCUUGCCAAACCGCCUAUAUACCGCCGUCGCCAACUCACCCUUUGAAGGAAACACAGUGGGUUUAAGGAUUGAACACCAAAACGUCAGGUCAAGGUGUAGCUUAUGAAGUGGAAAGAAAUUGGCUACAUUUUCUAUAUUAGACCACACGAAUUAUCAGUAUGAAACCUGAUAUGAAGGAGGAUUUAGCAGUAAAAAGAAAUCAGCAAGUUCUUUUUAAGAUGGCCCUAGAGCGCGCACACACCGCCCGUCACCCUCUUCCACUCAUUUUAUUAACAUACAUAAUAAAUUAACCAAAGAUCAGAAGAGGAAAGUCGUAACAUGGUAAGUAUACCGGAAGGUGUACUUGGAAC
rnacentral:rRNA from 1 species